ensembl:lncRNA
AUGACUGGCUGCCAAAGCCAGCGCUAUUCCCCCAUGACGGGAAGACUGGAGGCCAGCUCUACCGAGAGAGAGAGGGGGGAAUUUAAUCAAACACUAAGAAAGAAGAGUCUGAGGGGCGCUUGGAAGGGUGCACAAAGUCUUCAGAGACAAACUGUCGCUGUGAGAGGAGAGAAAAGGACAAGCCUGACCUCUGUUAGCACGGUUGAGCUUCACCUCAGAAUCUCUUCUCUUCAUGUGAGAGAUUAAUGCGAGUGGACAGGAGCGAACAGCUGAAUCACAUUUUCAAAGGCUGCAUCGCACGGCAGUGGGGUGAGAACCUCUGCUCUGGCCUCGUCUGGUCGCUGGACUGCGUUGGCUUUUAUCAGCACAAUCUGCUCCCGUGUCCCUCGUGAUGAGAAAGCACCUGGCCUCCAAUUGGGGACAAGCUGGCCAAACCAACCGAGGUUCACUGGACACCCAUAAGUCCAAUGUCGCCGCCACUCGAAUACAAAAAAAAGCCUCAACUACAAACAUGUGACUGUUAAUCAUUACGAAGAUGAUUUCCGUGAAAGCGCUCGGAUUGAAUUUGCUCAUUUUAAUUGGAUGUAGGAAGGCAACUCACAUUUCCUAAACAAACAGUGGGAAUUGAGCUUUGCCAUUUUCCGAGUGCAAUGAGUCUUAUCAUAUCAACAAAUGGAAAGUGCAAUGAGGAGGAGCUGCAAAAUCAUUUACAUAUUCAUAGAGAAUUACUCAACCUCUGCUAUAAUGUUAUCUUGCUCUGAGAGUUAGUGUGAAAGCCCCAGAUUGAGAAACGUAAAAUUUCCGGACAAAAAAAAAAAGUCUUAAUUUGUGUAAACAAAUAAUAGUGACCCUAAAAGCACCAGUACCUGCUGCAAGCAUAAUGGAGCUUACAGUGAAGUUUCCUGCACUACAUUGUAAUUAGAUUCCAACCUUCCUGUUUUGGUGUCACACCGCCAAUUUAAACGAUUAACUGGCAAGGGAGCUUCUUCCACAUUGACCUUUAGACAAGGCUCUCACAAGUUUAAAUUUGUCAGCUAGCAAUGUUCUACAGUGGAUAUGGAUAUGCAUCAUUUUUUCUAAAUUUGUAAAAUUCUUUCCACCACAUCUCAGUAUUAAAUAUUAUUAUGAGGUGGAAAUGAUAUUUAAAAACAUUUUGGGAUAUAACUGUGCCUAGCAUUUAAAGAAUAUUACAUAUACAAAAUAAUAUUUAAUUAUAAUAAUAACAAUAGUUAACAUUUUAGAACAUUUACAGCUUGAUAAUAAUAUGUAAUAAUAUCAAAUAAUGUCUAAUAAUAAUGAUAUUUUUUUAUAAUUGAUAAUUAUUCUGUUUACAAGGGAUUUUUAACCUUGAUCUUUCAUGUCACAUUUCAUCUCGGUUUGCUCUUCACUGAUGUUGCUGUCUCCUUGGUGUUUCUUUGUAACCAAGUAAAGAAACUAAAAAAAGUUGGUAUAAGUGGCUAAAUUGUUGGUUGCUGUGUAAAAUGUUGACAAAUAAAUGACAAUUUGGGAUUUGUGUAAAAAUUACA